rnacentral:rRNA from 1 species
AGAGUUUGAUCCUGGCUCAGAACGAACGUUGGCGGCGUGGAUUAGGCAUGCAAGUCGUGGGCGAAAGGGGCUUCGGCCCCGAGUAGACCGGCGAACGGGGCAGUAAUGCGUGGGUAACCAACCCCCCGGAUGGGGAUAACCCCUGGAAACGGGGGCUAAUACCCAGCGGGCUCACGGGCACUGCGGUGUCUGUGAGUAAAGGGUGCGAAUCCGCCGGGGGACGGGCUCACGUGGUACCAGCUAGUUGGUGAGGUAAUGGCUCACCAAGGCUACGACGCCUAGCGGGUGUUAGCGCAUGGCCCGCGCCACUGGGACUGAGACACUGCCCAGACACCUACGGGUGGCUGCAGUCGAGAAUCUUCGGCAAUGCCCGCAAGGGUGACCGAGCGACGCCGCGUGGGGGAAGAAGGCCUUCGGGUUGUAAACCCCUGUCAGGAGGGCGGAAAGGCCGGGAGGAUCUCCUCCUGGCGUUUGACCUCCCUCCAGAGGAAGCACGGGCUAAGUUCGUGCCAGCAGCCGCGGUAAGACGGACCGUGCGAACGUUGUUCGGAAUUACUGGGCUUAAAGGGCGCGUAGGCGGCUCGCUAAGUCGGUGGUGAAAGCCUCCGGCUCAACCGGAGAAGUGCUGCCGAUACUGGCGGGCUCGAGGGAGGUAGAGGUGCGUGGAACUACCGGUGGAGCGGUGAAAUGCGUUGAUAUCGGUAGGAACGCCGGUGGCGAAGGCGGCGCACUGGGCCUCACCUGACGCUGAGGCGCGAAAGCCAGGGGAGCGAACGGAUUAGAUACCCGGGUAGUCCUGGCUGUAAACGANGGGCNCCNAGGUAGACCCGGCUGACGGGUUUGCUCU